rnacentral:rRNA from 1 species
ACAUGCAAGUCGAGCGGUACAACGAUCCUAGCUUGCUAGGAAGAGUCGAGCGGCGGACGGGUGAGUAAAGCGUGAGAAUCUACCUCAUGAGUGGGGGACAACCCGGGGAAACGCGGGCUAAUACCGCAUACGCCCUACGGGGUAAAGCAGGGGACCUUCGGGNCCUUGCGCUGAUGAGAUGAGCUCGCGUCGGAUUAGCUUGUUGGUGAGGUAAAGGCUCACCAAGGCGACGAUCCGUAGCUGGUCUGAGAGGAUGAUCACCCACACCGGGACUGAGACACGGCCCAGACUCCUACGGGAGGCAGCAGUGGGGAAUCUUGGACAAUGGGGGCAACCCUGAUCCAGCCAUGCCGCGUGUGUGAAGAAGGCCUUCGGGUUGUAAAGCACUUUCAGCAGGGAGGAAGGCUUACCCCUAAUACGGGUGAGUACUUGACGUUACCUGCAGAAGAAGCACCGGCUAACUUCGUGCCAGCAGCCGCGGUAAUACGAAAGGGUGCAAGCGUUAAUCGGAAUUACUGGGCGUAAAGCGCGCGUAGGCGGUGUUUAAGUCGGAUGUGAAAGCCCAGAGCUCAACUUGGAUUGCAUCCGAUACUGGCAAGCUAGAGUU